GUGGGGAAUCUUCCGCAAUGGACGAAAGUCUGACGGAGCAACGCCACGUGAGUGAAGAAGGUUUUCGGAUCGUAAAGCUCUUUCGUUAGGGACGAACGUGCUCUUUGUGAAUAAUGAGGAGUAAUGACGGUACCUAAAUAAGAAGCCACGGCUAACUACGUGCCAGCAGCCGCGGUAAUACGUAGGUGGCAAGCGUUGUCCGGAAUUAUUGGGCGUAAAGCGCGCGCAGGCGGGAUAUCAAGUCUGUCUUAAAAGUGCGAGGCUCAACCUCGUGAGGGGACAGAAACUGGUAUUCUUGAGUGUCGGAGAGGAAAGUGGAAUUCCAAGUGUAGCGGUGAAAUGCGUAGAGAUUUGGAAGAACACCAGUGGCGAAGGCGACUUUCUGGACGAUGUCUGACGCUGAGGCGCGAAAGCUAGGGGAGCGAACGGGAUUAGAUACCCUUGUAGUCC
rnacentral:rRNA from 1 species